GACAGAGGAUGCAAGCGUUAUCCGGAAUGAUUGGGCGUAAAGCGUCUGUAGGUGGCUUUUUAAGUCCGCCGUCAAAUCCCAGGGCUCAACCCUGGACAGGCGGUGGAAACUACCAAGCUGGAGUACGGUAGGGACAGAGGGAAUUUCCGGUGGAGCGGUGAAAUGCGUAGAGAUCGGAAAGAACACCAGUGGCGAAGGCGGCUCACUGGCCCGGAACUGACGCUGAGGCGCGAAAGCGUGGGGAGCAAACAGG
rnacentral:rRNA from 1 species